CCAUCCCGGCGCGCUUGGAGAUAGACGUUUUCUUUGUCCUUUUGUCAGCUCUUGGGGGCCCCCGAACCCCCAGGCCCCCACUGCAGCGGGGGGGAUCCGGACCGGCCGGCCCUCCCCUCCAACACCACUGCGACCCCUGCCCCGCGGCCUGGACCCGCGACUCGUCCUGUUCUGGGCUGGACAGGAGGCCGGAGAGGACUCGGGCGCCCAAGGUGGAAACUGAGACCCAGAGAGCCGUGACUUGACUGAUCCCACAGCCAGGAAAUGGUGGAGCCUGGAUUUGAACCCCAGCUUUUAAGAAGAAGGUGCCACUGUCCUGGAAGAACUCUCAGGACAGCAUUAGUGUCUCAGGGAUCCCCCUAAUCGGAGGGGCCUUAAGGCAACCUAAUCAUGAUUGUCACUGAAGAUCCAGGAGGGCUUCCUGGAGGAGGAGGCAGCUCCAUUCUGAAAUGCCAAGGGUACAGCUUUAUUGGGACAGCCAGUGUCUCUGAAUAUGUAGGUUUUGCACAGAGCUUGUACUGCCCCAGGGCCUGUACACUGCCUGUCCCCUCUGCCUUGUGCACUCUUUCCCUAGAUGUCCAAAUGGCUCCUUUCCUCACCUACCCCAAAUCUCAAUUCCAGUGUUUCCCCAGCCUCCCCUCAUUUCAGUAAUCACUCUGCAGUGAGCUAGGAUUGCGCCACUGCACUCCAGCUUGGAUAAGAGAACAAGACCCUGUCUCUUAACUAAAUACAUAAAUAAAAAUAAUUCCCCUCUUCA